UCGCUGUGAUGACAUUAUUUCCUGCCAUUCGUAGUUUCCACCAGAGGUUGAAAGACCAAAGAUGGCCCAAUCCUUCCUUGGAUGUCUGAGCGA
rnacentral:snoRNA from 1 species